rnacentral:rRNA from 1 species
GGGGAAUAUUGCACAAUGGGGGAAACCCUGAUGCAGCGACGCCGCGUGAAGGAUGAAGUAUUUCGGUAUGUAAACUUCUAUCAGCAGGGAAGAAAAUGACGGUACCUGAGUAAGAAGCCCCGGCUAACUACGUGCCAGCAGCCGCGGUAAUACGUAGGGGGCAAGCGUUAUCCGGAUUUACUGGGUGUAAAGGGAGCGUAGACGGAGGUGUAAGUCUGAUGUGAAAACCCGAGGCUCAACCACGGGACUGCAUUGGAAACUGUGCUUCUAGAGUGCCGGAGAGGUAAGCGGAAUUCCUAGUGUAGCGGUGAAAUGCGUAGAUAUUAGGAGGAACACCAGUGGCGAAGGCGGCUUACUGGACGGUAACUGACGUUGAGGCUCGAAAGCGUGGGGAGCAAAC